rfam:Nadsonia fulvescens var. elongata DSM 6958 unplaced genomic scaffold NADFTscaffold_10, whole genome shotgun sequence.
UCCGAAAUAGUUUAGUGGCUAGAAUUUGCGCCUGUCAGAAUUGUGGAAUUCAGCACGCGUGGGACCGGGGUUUAAUUCCCCGUUUCGGAG